AUGACACUGUGUGAGUUUCAAGUGUACCCAACUCAGCAGCUUUUCGUCUGCCUUAAAAGAUGGAGUCUCUCAUCCAUUUCCCUCCCCCUUUUCUCUUUCAGACUGUGGCUACACUUCGGAGUCCUAUCAGCAGGGUGUCCUGUCGGCCACCAUCCUCUAUGAGAUCCUGCUGGGGAAGGCCACCCUGUAUGCUUUGCUGGUCAGCGUCCUUGUGCUGAUGGCCAAGGUCAAGAGAAAGGAUUCCUGAAAUCAGCUCAGAGGUGGAGCCCGGAGUUUCCAGCCGGCCAAUGUCCCAGUAUGGGGCCUCCUUUGCCCACUUGUAGCCCAGGCUUCUGAACACCUGUUUUCCUCCCUCUGCCCCCCAACCCCCAGCAGCUGCCCCCUCUGUGCACCCACAUGCCGAUGGUCACAGCUCAGCUCUCCCUAACCCAGGGGGGCCCCCGCAUGACAAAAUGCACUGAAUCAAUAAAAAUGGCCUGUUCUGGCUUGACUUUG